GACGAACGCUGGCGGCGUGCUUAACACAUGCAAGUCGAACGGAAAGGCCCUGCUUUUGUGGGGUGCUCGAGUGGCGAACGGGUGAGUAACACGUGAGUAACCUGCCCUUGACUUUGGGAUAACUUCAGGAAACUGGGGCUAAUACCGGAUAGGAGCUCCUGCUGCAUGGUGGGGGUUGGAAAGUUUCGGCGGUUGGGGAUGGACUCGCGGCUUAUCAGCUUGUUGGUUGGGUAGUGGCUUACCAAGGCUUUGACGGGUAGCCGGCCUGAGAGGGUGACCGGCCACAUUGGGACUGAGAUACGGCCCAGACUCCUACGGGAGGCAGCAGUGGGGAAUAUUGCACAAUGGGAGGAAGCCUGAUGCAGCAACGCCGCGUGCGGGAUGACGGCCUUCGGGUUGUAAACCGCUUUCGCCUGUGACGACGCGUGAGUGACGGUAAUGGGUAAAGAAGCACCGGCUAACUACGUG
rnacentral:rRNA from 1 species